GUUAUAAUAAUUUAAAUAAAAAUAUUGGUUUUGUAAACCAAAUUUGAGAAAAUCUUAUAACU
rnacentral:tRNA from 1 species